AAUUCUGGGCUAAUUUUGUGACC
rnacentral:piRNA from 1 species